GCAGGAGGAUUCUUAACCACUGCACCACCAGCGAAGUCCAUGGGUGGACUCCUUGAUGGACCCUGAGAGUCCACUUUUGGCUGAAGGCUUUUCCACACCGUUCUUAAGCCUUCUUCACAGAAUAAAUACGCUGAUGGACCGUGACAUGGGGCCGAUGCCUGAAGGCUUUUCUGCACUCGCCACACGUGCAAGGCUUUCCCCAGAGUGACUACUCAGAAGAACCAAGUGUUGGGAGCUUUUGUACCCAUGGGGCUUCUCUCCGGUGUGAACUCUGCAGUGAACAGAGGGGACGGUCACAGCACUAGACUCGAAGAAUUCCCCAUACUCGCUGCGAGUGUGGGGUUUCCCUCUGGCGUGAGCGCCCUUAUGUAUGAGAACAUGUGUCUGUUUCUCAGCGCUUUCUCACACACUUUACAUCUAUGAGAUUCUUUGCCAGUGGAAGUCCUCCGGGCUGCAGGAACAGACACUCUCUACCUGGAGCGUCGGACCCCACAGGUCAAGGGCUCGGUCCCAGAAGACCGCCCCCACUUCUGACAACAAUCUCAAGUCCAGGUUGUCUGUCAUCUGGUUGUCUGACUGACCAGCUUUAAACCAGAGGUUCCCACGACCCCCUCUCAGGUUGGGUUAAUUUGCUAGAGUGGUUCUCUCAGAACUCAGGAAAGUGUACUCACUCCGGCCAGUUUAUGACAAAGGAUAUUAAAGGAUACGAGUAAACAGCCAGAUGAAGAGCGCUUCUGCCCUGUGUGGACCUAGGCUGUGCCACCCUCCUGGCAUGUGGGCACAUUUUUUUUUUUUUUUAAUUAAUUAAUUUAUUUAUUUUUGGCUGCCUUGGGUCUUUGUUCC